GCUAGUUGUAUUAACUAUUAGUUAAUACAAGAUCGACUAUGUCGACUAAAGUUCUAGGUAGAAUAAUGAUGAUGACAAUUUUCUACCUAUAUGUCUUGACCAAAUCUCGUGCCAGCAGUCGCGGUAAUACGUGAAAGACUAGUGUUAUUCAUCUUUAAUAGGUUUAAAGGGUACCUAGACGGUUUAUCUAGCCCAAAACAGGGUACGGAUUUUCUAGAGUUUUAUGUGAGGAGGGGAGUACUCAUAGAGUAAAGAUGAAAUUUUGUGAUACUAUGGGGAAACUGGUGGUGGCGAAAGCAACCUUCUAUGUAUAAACUGACGUUGAGGGACGAAGGCUUGGGUAGCAAAUAGGAUUAGAUACCCUAGUAGUCCAAGCAGACAAUUCUGAAUGCCAUAGAUUAGAUUUUUUUUUGGUCUAUAAAUGAAAGUGUAAGCAUUCCACCUUAGGAGUAAUGUGGCAACACAGGAACUGAAAUCAUUAGACCGUUUCUGAAACCAGUAGUGAAGUAUGUUAUUUAAUUUGUUAGUCCUCAAAAAACCUUACCACAACUUGAAUAUUAUUUAAUUAAUACAAGCGUUGCACGGCUGUCUUCAGUUAAUGUCGUGAGAUUUUGGUUAACUCCCUCAAUUAACGUAAACCCUUACUUUAUUUUUUUUU
rnacentral:rRNA from 1 species